AAGAUGCUCAGCAAAAGAAGGGAAGCUUGAGAUUUGAGAGAAAAGGGAAGGUUUGUAGUAUCAAAAUUCCAUGCUCACCCCCCCUACUGAAACUCGCCCAUAAAGCUACUUUUUGAAAAGCCUUUAAAACAAGGAGGGGGAAGUACUGAAAGCAGCUUUCAUGUCUGCCAAAAUGUAGGUUCAUUAACCAGUAUAUAAAGAAAUGAAAUUUUGGUUCACUUGCUGUGAUAUUAAUUUCAAAAUAAAUUGAAUACAGUGUAUUUAAUUUUUCAGGAUGUUCCUCUGGGGCAUGAGCACUGUUUAUGGGCUCAGUAAAUAUAUAAUACCAAAUCUGGAUUGAUAGAAAAAUAGAAACAUAAAGCUAAGAAAAAUUGAAAAGGAAUUCAAGAAUCAGGGAGACAGAGUAGGAUAUGUGAAAAGACAUGGGAUAAGAAGUUAGAUAAUGGGACUGUUAAGAAGAUACAGGAGUUGUAAAGAAUGCACGGGAAUGAAGGGAAAGUAAAGAAGUGACCUUCAUUUACUGUCUCAUCUCUUCCAUCUCUGCCUCCCCAGCUCUGCAUAGCUGAGUUCCAUAAUGUUCCAUCACCUCACCCUGGGUCAUCCAUGUCAGUCAGGAAGUUUGAAGAUGUUCCAGUCUCCCAGCAGGUGGAUUUGUCUAUGAAGAGGGGAAUCAUUCAUUAGCUGACUGUACCUAAUUUCUAAUAGAAGGGCAGGUUCUCCAAACUGACCUAUGGAUGCACUUCAUCCACCAGCACUGAAGUUGCUGUUUAGAUCAAUGGUGGAGGCUAAUGAGAUUUGCAGACUGGAAUGAAUCAGACCUGAAUAUGCUAAGUACAGUUGAUGAACUAUAAGCCAAAUAGGCAAAGGAAACAUUAAUUAACAACCAGCCUCAAAAUCCAAGGUAGUGGUUGUCCAAUGAGAAGAAACGAUGCUAACAACUUGUGUGUGACAGAGAUAGG
rnacentral:lncRNA from 1 species